rnacentral:lncRNA from 1 species
UCCCUUGGAUCCAAGCCAAGAACAUCUUCAGGCACCGACUGAUCAAAAUUGUUGAGCAUGGCUUCAACAGAAUGCUGCCCACAAGUAUAAGUCACCUCUGGUUCUAGCACUGCUGCUAAUGGCUCAACAAUAUCCGCUGCAACAUCAACCUCGGGUACAUCAUCUAAUAUCUGAUUUAAUUUGUCCAAUUCCUGUCCAUCCCAU